rnacentral:rRNA from 1 species
CGGUAGCUAAAUGCGGAAGAGAUAAGUGCUGAAAGCAUCUAAGCACGAAACUUGCCCCGAGAUGAGUUCUCCCUGACUCCCUGAGAGUCCUGAAGGAACGUUGAAGACGACGACGUUGAUAGGCCGGGUGUGUAAGCGCAGCGAUGCGUUGAGCUAACCGGUACUAAUGAACCGUGAGGCUUAACCUU